rnacentral:rRNA from 1 species
AACGAACGCUGGCGGCAGGCCUAACACAUGCAAGUCGAGCGCCCCGCAAGGGGAGCGGCGGACGGGUGAGUAACGCGUGGGAACGUACCCUUUGCUACGGAAUAGCCUCGGGAAACUGGGAGUAAUACCGUAUGUGCCCUUCGGGGGAAAGAUUUAUCGGCAGAAGGAUCGGCCCGCGUUGGAUUAGGUAGUUGGUGCGGUAAUGGCCUACCAAGCCGACGAUCCAUAGCUGGUUUGAGAGGAUGAUCAGCCACACUGGGACUGAGACACGGCCCAGACUCCUACGGGAGGCAGCAGUGGGGAAUCUUACACAAUGGGCGCAAGCCUGAUCUAGCCAUGCCGCGUGAGCGAUGAAGGCCUUAGGGUUGUAAAGCUCUUUCAGUGGGGAAGAUAAUGACUGUACCCACAGAAGAAGCCCCGGCUAACUCCGUGCCAGCCGCCGCCGUAACAC